CUUGGGACUCUUAUGAAGAAACUCUGGGCUGAAGGAAUCCAGAGAAAGAGAGAGAGAGAGAGAGAGAGAGAGAGAGAGAGAGAGAGAGAGAGAGGAAUUGCAUUGCUUCUCAUGGCAAAGCCAGAAGCUUUCCUCUUGGUUCUCUUGGCUACUAGCUACUACUUCUUAUAUGUUAUCGGUGAAACUUCAUUUAAGGUCAUUUCAUGCAGCCAUUACCAGAAGAAGUUCGUACAGAGGAAACAAAUAUGCUCCAUAAGAGUCAGCCCAUUGUGCGCUUCCAAUAAUGUUACAUAUCCUAAUUCCUGCGUGUACUGUUUCGCCAACGUAGCUUUGAAUCUCACUCUUCAAAUCCAAUACAGUGGAAAAUGUCUGAAGUCCACUUCCUGAUUAUCUUCAUUCAGCAUAAGUGAGACACUUAGAGCAAGCAUCAUCUUUUCUUCGUAAGGCAAAGUUUGUUAUUAUUAUCUUGUUUAAAAAUCAAUAAAAUUUUAUCAUUUG
rnacentral:lncRNA from 1 species